rnacentral:tRNA from 1 species
GGGUGAUUAGCUCAAGCUGGGAGAGCACCUCCCUUACAAGGAGGGGGUCGGCGGUUCGAUCCCGUCAUCACCCACCA